AGCGAACGCUGGCGGCAGGCUUAACACAUGCAAGUCGAGCGGGCACUUUCGGGUGUCAGCGGCGGACGGGUGAGUAACGCGGGGGAACGUGCCCUCUGGUUCGGAAUAACUCAGGGAAACUUGAGCUAAUACCGGAUACGCCCUUUUGGGGAAAGGCUUGCUGCCGGAGGGUCGGCCCGCGUCUGCUUAGCUAGUUGGGAAGGUAACGGCUUACCAAGGCGGCGAUCAGUAGCUGGUCUGAGAGGAUGAUCCGCCACACUGGGACUGAGACACGGCCCAGACUCCUACGGGAGGCAGCAGUGGGGAAUAUUGGACAAUGGGCGCAAGCCUGAUCCAGCCAUGCCGCGUGAGUGAUGAAGGCCUUAGGGUUGUAAAGCUCUUUUAUCCGGGACGAUAAUGACGGUACCGGAGGAAUAAGCCCCGGCUAACUUCGUG
rnacentral:rRNA from 1 species